rnacentral:rRNA from 1 species
GUUAGGAAUAUUGGACAAUGGGCGCAAGCCUGAUCCAGCCAUGCCGCGUGAGUGAUGAAGGCCUUCGGGUUGUAAAGCUCUUUAGCCGAUGAUUAUAAUGACUGUAGUCGGAAAAUAAGCCCCGGCUAACUUCGUGCCAGCAGCCGCGGUAAUACGAAGGGGGCGAGCGUUAUUCGGAAUCACUGGGCGUAAAGCGUGCGUAGGCGGCUUUGCAAGUUGGGAGUGAAAGCCCAGGGCUCAACCCUGGAAUUGCUCUCAAAACUGCAAGGCUCGAAUUCGUGAGAGAAUAGCGGAAUUGUCAGUGUAGCAGGGAAAUGCGUAGAUAUUGACAGGAACACCAGUGGCGUAAGCGGCUAUCUGGACCGAUAUUGACACUGAGGCACGAAAGCGUGGGGAUCAAACAGGAUUAGAAACCCCAGUAGUCC